rnacentral:rRNA from 1 species
UACGGGGGGAGCAAGCGUUGUUCGGAUUUACUGGGCGUAAAGGGCGCGUAGGCGGCCUCCGCAAGUCAGUUGUGAAAUCUCCGGGCUUAACUCGGAAAGGUCAACUGAUACUGCGGGGCUAGAGUGCAGAAGGGGCAACUGGAAUUCUCGGUGUAGCGGUGAAAUGCGUAGAUAUCGAGAGGAACACCUGCGGCGAAGGCGGGUUGCUGGGCUGACACUGACGCUGAGGCGCGAAAGCCAGGGGAGCGAACGGG